UACAGAGGUCUCAAGCGUUGUUCGGAUUCAUUGGGCGUAAAGGGUGCGUAGGCGGCGCGGUAAGUCGGGUGUGAAAUUUCGAGGCUUAACUUCGAAACUGCAUUCGAUACUGCCGUGCUUGAGGACUGGAGAGGAGACUGGAAUUUACGGUGUAGCGGUGAAAUGCGUAGAUAUCGAGAGGAACACCUGCGGCGAAGGCGGGUUGCUGGGCGGACACUGACGCUGAUGCGCGAAAGCCAGGGGAGCAAACGGG
rnacentral:rRNA from 1 species